UGGCUCGAGGACGAACGCUGGCGGCGUGCCUAACACAUGCAAGUCGAGCGGGGACAUACGACGGAUAGGGAAGUUUUCGGAUGGAAUUGAAGAUGUAUUGUUCUAGCGGCGGACGGGUGAGUAACGCGUGAGCAACCUGUCCCUUACAGGGGGAUAACACAGCGAAAGUUGUACUAAUACCGCAUAAGACCACGGGGAGACAUCUUCCAGGGGUCAAAGGAGCAAUCCGGUAAGGGGUGGGCUCGCGUCCGAUUAGAUAGUUGGUGAGGUAACGGCCCACCAAGUCGACGAUCGGUAGCCGACCUGAGAGGGUGAUCGGCCACAUUGGGACUGAGACACGGCCCAAACUCCUACGGGAGGCAGCAGUGGGGAAUAUUGGGCAAUGGGGGGAAACCCUGACCCAGCAACGCCGCGUGAGGGAAGAAGGUUUUCGGAUCGUAAACCUCUGUCCUUGGUGAAGAGGAAGAGACGGUAGCCAAGGAGGAAGCCCCGGCUAACUACGUGCCAGCCGCGGC
rnacentral:rRNA from 1 species